CGGCCGUUACGUUGGUGACGUCACCACGAACGCGAGAAGUCGAAGGUGUAUCAGUAUGAAGCAGGCGGUGACGGCGCACUGAUUCACUCUCGGAGCUCGGUUCACUAAUGACCGAAUCACCGAGGAACCGACCAAAGAUAACUCACACCCGCACGGAGAAGAAGAACAAGAGGAGGAGAAGAUGAGCUGGAGUGGGGCAAAGAGAACUGCAUUCAGAUCAAACGGAUACAAGAGAGGUGGCCGAGUUGUUUGAGGAUCUGAAGAAUUGAGUGUCACAAUUCAACAUGCACAUCAGCGAAACUUUUCCCUCUGACUACACCAGCACGCACGCACAGAAAUUCAUAGUGCAGGUGGCGAUUGCAGGCGCAUUUUAUCCGAACUGCUUCCUCCAGGGAACUGUGGACGAGGAGCUCGCCUCCAAGGAACUCUAUGGAAACGACCCCAGGACCACCAUAGUGGUGUGUAAUCUCCCUCCAUUUGCAUUCCUCUACUAUAAACAGCUCCAGUCUCUCUUCAGACACUGUGGUUAAAUCAAAUCCAUCUCCUUUGACAGCUCCAGGGCCUAUGUAGAGUUCUACCGCUCGUCAAUGAGAGGUUCUGGCGUUCUCCCAGAGGUCUCUCUGUCUCUCCUCCUCACGCAGCAGAGACUUCCUCUCCAUCUCAACGUUUAAUCCGCUGGAGAGGUGGAGACUUGGGCAGGGGGGUAGUGUAUCUCACACCUCAGAUAUACACGGGUGAAUGUGGAUUUUCAGAAUCAGUCAGUGAGCCCUGUCAGGGUUCUGAGCAGCUCCAUUGAGUUGGAGAACCUUCCGUCUAACCCUGUCUUUAUCGUCAAUAUCACCGAGGUGUCUGUUCCGCCUCUUUCACUUUCAGUGCACAAAUAAAAAAGAAGCAGUGGCUCCUGUGUGUGUGUGUGUGUGUGUGUGUGUGUUUGUGUGUGUGCACACUAACAGGAGGUCCAGGUGCAGCCUUUGGAUAUUGAUGAAGAUUUACUGCCCCUGCAAGACCUUCCUCAACUGCGUAGUCUGGAGCAAAGGAUGCAACAGAGCCCAGAUUACAAGCAAAAUCUGGUAAACUGGUUGGCGCUUAUUGACGGGGUGUAUGUGCGUGACUGCACCUGGCGCAUAUUGAAGAGGGUGAUUGCUAACUCCCUGGAAAAGAAUCUCAAUUGGAGGGGAGUCAAUGGAAAGACUUCACUGUCCGCUCUCCAACUCGGAGAGGUCAUGAUUGCUGCAGUUCAUAGAAACCUCUUCACGGCUAAAGCUGCAGAGAUGGAGGUCGAGGGGUCCAUGAAGAGGCGGCUCCAGCUGGCAUCAGAUCGAGAGUGUGGGCGCAAGAGCAGACUUUUGAUAAAGGAGGAUAUUUACAGUGUUUUAACUGCUGUGUUUUUUGCGCUAUUUAUUAAUUUGUUAAAAUGUUCAUAUUAUAGUCUAUUUUUAAUUGUUUAUAAAAGUCCUUGCUGUUUUUAAGUGGCUGAAUUAGUGUGUGUGCACGCGUGUGUGCGUGCGUGUUGGUAGCUGGGUGGGUAUAUAGUUCUGGUCGGAAGUUGACAUACCCCUUGCAGGAAAAAGAGACCCUGUGUAAUCUGUUUAAACGACUUUUACGCAUGUUUUGCAGAGAGAUCAUUUUCACCUUGCUGUUUGGGUCUCUGUCCCACACUGUUACAGUGCAGUAUUGAGAGCACGAGGGAGAUCGAUUUUCUAUCAGAAACAGUAACUAUAUAAAAUGGACGUCAACACGCAGCACUCUGUGAGGUCAUUUCUCGCUCUCAACAGAGUAGUUGUGAUUGUUCAGUGUUUACGACAGGGCCAAAACAUUCAAGGCCAUGGUGUAUUUUGACUGUUCCUGUAGCAUAAUCUCACCAAACUGUGUGUACACGAGUCCACAGACACUGAGUCUAUUCACAGUUCCAUGCUGUGUAGAUGUUCUGCUCAUCCUCACUGUACCGUAAAGGUCAGAACCUCACAUCUGUAACCUUGUAGCUUUCCUUAAUCAACACGACUGUGACCAAGCUUGUGUAUCACUACUAUUUUUAGAUCUCCGCCUCUCAAAAGUAUUGGCGCCCUGCGCGGCCGCCUCUCAAAUCUUUUGCCGCCCUACGCGGCCGGCUCUCAAAUCUGUUGGCGCCCUAUGCGUCCGGCUGUCAAAUCUAUUGGCGCCCUAUGCGUCCGGCUCUCAAAACUAUUGGCGCCCUUCACGGGCAGUUCUCAAAAGUAUUGGCACCCGAUCUGAAUUUUGCCACGGCAAGCACCACUCACAUUUUCUUCAGGAAAUGUACCUUAAAAUAAUAAAAAGUCUCUCACUAGGCUGUGUGUCGAGAUAAACGUGAAAACAUCUUGAGCUUGUGUUCACCACAGACCUUAUUUCCGGCAUUUAACCCAAAACCCCAUUGACGGAAGUGCUAAUACGCUGACUCGUUUCUGGGUUUCACGACUCAUUCCUGCAGCACUCUGUAAGACGGGCUGUUGUUAUCAAACCAUCGAAGUAAGAUAAGCGGCUUUGGUAAUGAUUCUUUAAAUGAACCGAUUCAGAAUCCUCUUCUUGAAUCGUUUGAGUCGUUCUCACUCGGUCAGGGUUGCACGUGUGGGUUGCUUUUCCUGCACGUGUAAUCAGCACGUGUUCACAGACCGUAAAUUCCGACCCCAUGGUAGACACUCGACAGAAAUUUCAUACUAAAGUAAGUAUUUUAUAUUUUCUGGGUCUAAAGAGAGCAGAAGUAAUGCUAAUGUGUUGUACAGAUUCUAUUGGACUAGUGAACUGUGUGGAUUUGUAUAUUUAACCCAGUUUAAUAUGGCCUGCUUUGUUCAGUCAGAGACAAGUAAAUCUGUUCUAAUGUUCAUUUAUUUUCCAUAGAUAAAACAAAUGUUUGUUUACACAUGAAUACGUACUUUAUGCCUUCAGAAUGGUGGAGAUUUGGCUCUUAACUAUGGUUAAGUGGGGGUACUAUAAAAUGCACAGUUCUGAGACACUAUAUACCUAUACUGUGAAAUCAGUACAUGUGUGUGUUUAGAAUGAUUAUAGCUUUUGGGGAAAAAACUAUUCUUGAAUCUAUUAGUCCUUGUUCUGAUGCACCUGUAACAUCUCCCUGAGGGCAACAGAUCAGAGCCAGGGUGAGAGCUGUCCUCAAUGAUGGUUUUUCCUCUGCUGAGGCAACGGGGGGGUGUAAAUAUCCAUCAGGGAGGUGUUGUGGAUAAAAAAUGUCAUAAAAUAAACAUAAAGGAGACCUAGCAUCCAGCAAAGGGGAGAAGAAGAAAAGAUGGGCACCUAGACACAUAGAAGCGGAAUUAGGCGGACAUUGACAAAUUGGAAUUACACUUUAAAGAUCUUUAAGAGCAGUAGUAGUCAAAAAAGUCAAAAAGAGGUAUACGAGCUGAGCUGAAGAGUGCUAAUACACACACACACACACACGCUCGUACAGUCAAGGGCGGGCAAGUAGACGCAACAUGCACACACAUGAAUAACUUUAAUAAUCUUAUAGUAAUAGAGAAACUCUCUAUAAAAAAACAGAAUAGUAGGAUAUGCAGGACAGUAUGGAGGAUAUGCAGGAGUUUAAGCUCAUCACUUCUGAGAAUUCUCAUCGGUGUGGAUCUCGUGUGGUGGAACGGAACAAUAAAUCUGGACCCUUGCUUCUUCUCACUCAUGGCUGGUGUCUUUUUUUUCUAUCUCCAACUGGGCUCAGAGGUAGAUGUGAGUGUUGGCUUCUAUGUUGAAUUUUAAGUGUUUUUGGGUAAUAGGCUAUAUUUGAGCCAACAGAGGGGAGAGGUAAUAAAUAAACUUAUAAAUGUGAUUACUUGAUGACCGUAGACAGAACUCUAUAAAUGUGAAAUGUUUUGUUGAAGUUCAGAUGAAUCUCUGAUGUACAGAAUCUUCAACAGAGUUCUGCAGAAAGAUUUUAAAUGCCUGUCAUUCACCAGAACAAAUUUGCAGUUGAACAGUCUGUCUAAAAGAAAAAAUCUAAACACACAAUAUAAAAUUCCUGCAGUGUGAAUAAAGCCUUUGUGUUGCUUUUAGCAAACAUGUCUAGUACUCUCGGUUCAAUGUACACAAUUUACCCCAUUUAAAUGCAUUUUGGAAAUUGUUCCACAUGGCCUUAAAGUGUGAAUAUUCACUGUAUGCCAAAUAAGUAAUCAAAGAAUGGAACUGAAUUUUUUCUUCUCUAAUGGACCAUUAAUCACAAUUAUAAAAGAUGAUGCAUCAGGUACAAAGUAUCAGGGUUUUUUCCCCCUCUUUUUCCCACAAUAGUUGCAUGAUUUUUGCUACACCCUUUCCACCAUGUGUGUGUGUGUGUGAGCGUGCGCGCUACAAAUCACUUUGAGGUAAAAAUAUUUUAAGGCAGCCACUUUCACCUUCCUACAACAAUUGGUGACUGGUCUGAGGUGAAGCUUCUUGUCAUGUUACUGUGGUCAUGGAUCACAUUGUGGGGAUCUCUGUAAUGUAACCGUUUCUGUAAUUAUCCUUACUUGCCUUUGCGCUUUUGUGCUUCUGCGUCUUCUGUUGGUGCUUUAUUCUGCUUUUUAGGGCCCGAGCACCGCUGCUGCAAAGCCCUUUUGGAUCUGCUGUUUAUUAUUGGGGCAGAGCACCGAAGGUGCAGCGCUUCUGGUGACCACCGGAGGUGCAGGGCCCUAUUGAUUUUCUGGUGUUUAUUGUUUAUUUCAUGCAUUCUUGUCGUUUUUAAGGACCUAAACAUGGCUGAAAACUCCCAAAACUCGGUAGACGCGCCAGCUCCAGUGAAAAUGUAACUUGCAUGGGCAUGGUCGAGGAGCUCCUUAGCACCCCUGAAGGCAGGCAAUGGUCGGGAUGAAGUUGCUCCGAUGUGCACGAUUUACCAUAUAUAUAUAUAUAUAUAUAUAUAUAUAUUAAUUAGAUAGAUAUGGGGUAAUAAAGUGUAAAAUAUAGAUAAUUCACAAUAAUAUCAGAUAUCAGUUAGAUUCAGCUUCGGACACAAGUUCCAGGUACUGAUCGAGAAGGAGUGGAUCAGCUUCGGACACAAGCUGGCCUCGGUGCGUAUGAGCAGUGAGGGCGUGGUUGUGUGUGGGCGCGUGAACGCAUGUAUAUUUAACCCCAUCUUUCUCUCUCUGUGUGUUUCUCAGCGUGUCGGCCUUGGAGAUGAGAAUCACGCCAACUCGGAACGAUCCCCUCUCUUUGUGCAGUUCAUCGACUGUGUGUGGCAGAUGAUGAGACAGGUCAGCUACUGAUGCUUUACACCACAACACUGUUGAAUUCUCCAAUCUGAUUGGUCAGAAGGCGUUGGAGACAUUUCUGUAACAGCAAGAUUCUGAUUCCAGCUGCAAGGGAAAUUACAGCUUUAUAGUGAUGUGCUCGUUCCUAUAGUAACAGCUCUUUCACAGGGUCUAGUAUGGCGUACGCAAUACAUAUUCUAAGCUUAAUCGUAAACAUAUUAUAAACAUGUCACUUAAAGAAAAAGACGUAUGAUCAUUGUGAUCUAGUUAAGAUUUAUAAGUUAUCUAUUUAUGGAAGUUUUAUGGAAGUAUUCUCCAGUGUCACGGCAGAGAGGACAUUGCACUUUCCAGUUUCUCAGUAACAUUGCAAGUCUUAUUCAUUUCAAGAGUUAGGGUGGGGAAAGAGAGGCUUGUGAGGGAACUAUUGUUUUAUUUUAAUGUUAUAAAGUAAGAGAUCAUAAUGAGAACUAACUCUCUUUUCCAGGACAUUCCAAAUUGUUCUUUGGCUAUGCCCCAUGUUUGUGCAAUAUUUCAGACCGGUUUUUCCUCUUUUCGCAGCUUCAAAAUGGCUUGCUUUUCUCCCAUAGACAGCUCUCUGGUCUUCAUGUCAGUUUAUUCUUUUUAACAACAAAUGCUGUCUCCACAGGUGAAACCCAGGGCUCAAACCAAGAGAAGACAUUCAGAGCUAUUCAUUCUUUAAAGUCCAUUUAACGAGGUACACCUGGCCAGCAAGAAAAAAACAUCAGUCACUCGUUCCAGUAUUUUUGAACAGUUAAUGAAUAGGAUGGCUUCAAAAAAGCUGCCAUAUUUUAAGCUGUGUAACACGUCUAGAUGUAAAUAUGAGGAAAUGAAAGCUGAAAUUCUGAUCUAUCGUCUCAUAUUCGUCUUUUAUCUCAAACCCAAAUGUCUUCAGUAUACAGCAAAAGCAAGUGAAUUGGCCUUGAUGUUCCAAUACUUUUGAAGAGGACUCUAAUUUUUCCUUCUGCUUCUGAGUUCAAAGAGCUUUUUCUCAUCCCCAUCCUGGAUCGCCCCUACAGCUGCCUGUUUGGUACAUUCCUCUACAGCAGUGAGCACGAGAGAAUGGAAAAGGAAGUACAGGGUAAAACGGUCACUGUGGUCCUACGUUAACAGUCAGCCGGAGGACUUCACUAAUCCGUUCUAUGUGGACUGUAAAAACCAGGUGCUGUAUCCACUGGCCAGUCUCACACAUCUGGAGCUCUGGGUGGGUUAUUAUGUGCGCUGGAACCCACGCAUGAGACCUCAGAUGCCGCUCCAUCAGAAUUUGAGAGAGUUACCGUUUUUGCGUGAAGAACGUGGAGGAGCUCCAGAGAGAGGCCACGUCAUCCUGCUCCAUCUCCUCAUCCUCAGAGCAUACUUCUCCCUCCUCACAUAGUGGUUUGGCAUGCUGUGCAUCCUGAGAUGCUUUUCUGCUCACCAUGUAUGUAAAGAGAGGUUAUUUGAUGUUACCAUGGCCGUCCUAUUAACUUGACCCAGUCUGGCCAUUCUCCUUUCGCCAACAACGUGUUUCCACCCCGAGAACUGCCACUUACCGGAUGUUUUUCAGACAAGUGUGUGUGUGUGUGUGUGUGUGUGUGUGUGUGUGUGUGUGUGUGGAAAUCCUAGGAGAGCCGCAGUUUCUGGAAUACUCAAACCAGACCACUUAGAAUCUACAACCAUGCCACAGAUAAAAUAACUGGAUUACAUUCUGGUGUUUGAUGUGAAUAUUGACUGAAGCUCUUCAUCUGAUCCUGCUUGAUGUUGUACAUUGUGGUGUUGCCAUAUGAUUGGCUGAUUGGAUAAUUGUAUGAAUGAGCACAUGUACAAGUGAUCAGUGAGCACAUCCAUCUACCAUAGAGGUAUUUUGGGGCAAUACUUGACAAUGUACCUGGCUUUGUUAGAUUUGUGGCCAAGUUGAAGAAGCUUUUGACAGCCGAAUGGAAAAAAAUUAAUAAAACAAUUCAAGACAAAUUCACUUUCAGUCUUGUUUUUUGUUUUGUUUUUUUCCCCCUUCAUGUUAAUCUCUUUCUACAGAACCCGUCCAAACUUCAUACGUCAAUGCAGUAAGCAAGAUAAACUGUCUAUAGCUG